rnacentral:rRNA from 1 species
UACAGAGGGUGCGAGCGUUAAUCGGAGUUACUGGGCGUAAAGCGCACGUAGGCGGCUUGGUAUGUCGGGGGUGAAAUCCCCGGGCUCAACCUGGGAACUGCAUCCGAAACUGCCUUGCUCGAGUAUGGGAGAGGGAAGUGGAAUUUCCGGUGUAGCGGUGAAAUGCGUAGAUAUCGGAAGGAACAUCAGUGGCGAAAGCGGCUCACUGGCUCGGUUCUGACGCUGAGGCGCGAAAGCGUGGGGAGCAAACAGG